rnacentral:rRNA from 1 species
GACGAACGCUGGCGGCGUGCUUAACACAUGCAAGUCGAACGGUAAGGCCCUUCGGGGUACACGAGUGGCGAACGGGUGAGUAACACGUGGGUGAUCUGCCCUGCACUUCGGGAUAAGCCUGGGAAACUGGGUCUAAUACCGGAUAGGACUCCUGCCUGCAUGGGUGGGGGUGGAAAGCUUUUGCGGUGUGGGAUGGGCCCGCGGCCUAUCAGCUUGUUGGUGGGGUGAUGGCCUACCAAGGCGACGACGGGUAGCCGGCCUGAGAGGGUGACCGGCCAGACUGGGACUGAGGUACGGCCCAGACUCCUACGGGAGGCAGCAGUGGGGAAUAUUGCACAAUGGGCGCAAGCCUGAUGCAGCGACGCCGCGUGAGGGAUGACGGCCUUCGGGUUGUAAACCUCUUUCUGCACAGACGAAGCGCAAGUGACGGUAUGUGCAGAAGAAGGACCGGCCAACUACGUGCCAGCAGCCGCAGUAA